CGCUGGCGGCGCGCCUAACACAUGCAAGUCGAACGAGAGACGAAGAGCUUGCUCUUCAAAUCGAGUGGCGAACGGGUGAGUAACGCGUGAGGAACCUGCCUCAAAGAGGGGGACAACAGUUGGAAACGACUGCUAAUACCGCAUAAGCCCACGGCUCGGCAUCGAGCAGAGGGAAAAGGAGCAAUCCGCUUUGAGAUGGCCUCGCGUCCGAUUAGCUAGUUGGUGAGGUAAUGGCCCACCAAGGCGACGAUCGGUAGCCGGACUGAGAGGUUGAACGGCCACAUUGGGACUGAGACACGGCCCAGACUCCUACGGGAGGCAGCAGUGGGGAAUAUUGCACAAUGGGGGAAACCCUGAUGCAGCGACGCCGCGUGGAGGAAGAAGGUCUUCGGAUUGUAAACUCCUGUUGUUGAGGAAGAUAAUGACGGUACUCAACAAGGAAGUGACGGCUAACUACGUG
rnacentral:rRNA from 1 species